rnacentral:misc_RNA from 1 species
CCGCAAAUAUUGAGGUAUUAUAGAAAAGCUAAAAGUUAGUCAAGCUCCGUGGAAAAUGACAUUGAACAAUUUGUCUCCUAAAUUUACACACAGAAGGCGGAAACAAGAAAAUGAACUUGCAAGUGCAUUAUCAAGAUCACAGUAUUUUCCCCUGAUAUGCAAUAACAUAUGAGGCUGUUAUUUCCUGGUGCUCGUGUUCAUGUGUGUUCAGCUUCCAAAAAAUGGGUUCUGAUAAAAUUUCCUGUGGAACCCAAUCGUCGUAUAUCCAAGCUGCAAUGACCUGCCAGCUCUUUAUGCAUUUACAGCAAAAAAAUUGGUGUACUUACACAAGCUAGUAACCCAAAAUUAGUACCAAGCAUUCUCCAUCAACAGCCUGGCUCUUGUUUCAGCUGGAUUCCACUUGUGGACGCAAACAUCAUUGGCUGAGUUGUACUAGGCAAAACACUACUAGCAAGUUCCUCAUUCAACAAAACUGGAAGGGGUGGCAUUUGGCUCAUAAUACCUGGCAUAUUUCUCAUGUCGUUUAGAAUUGCCGUUAUGUUAUUCCUCGUUCGGAUGAAGAGAUUAAUGUUGUCCUGAAACUUGACUGUUGAAAGAUUUGCCGAAAUUUGAUUCAGAGCCUGAUUGUUUUCUUCCAGUAGAUGCCUUGUUCCAAGUAAUGCUGCAGAAGGUGUCACAUCACCGUGGUCACGAUAUUUUGAGGAAAGCGAAUUCGGAAUGAAGCUCAGUGGUAAAGCUGAGGAUGAACCAGCUUUCACCGGUACUUCUGCUGAUUUUUCCUUCCUGUCUUUCACUUUCUUUCCCAAAUUAUAGUCUUCCUGUUUCCUGCGCUUUCUCGUCAUCCACCUACAUCUUAAUGCAACAUCACGUACAGUUUUGUCGCGGAGUGAGGCUGCAAUCUUAAUGUACUUCAUUAUACUAGGUUCAUUGGCAAAUUUGAUAAGUCCUUCGUCCAGUUUGUACUGUUCCUCAACCGUCCACUCUACUGCCAGCCCAGUGUCAUGCUUGAGCCCCGGGACUGAAUCAAUAAGAAAAGAACUCGAACAACUUCCAGACUGGCUCAUUCCAGGAUUACUGCUACUCCGUACACCACUGGUAAUCACACUUGGAUUCCCAGAAUACAACAUCCCUCUUCCUCCACCAUUAUUAUUUACAUUGAAAUUCACCCCGAGGCUACUGUAGUAAUUACCCAUCAACAUCAUCUCGGACGAUGAGCUUCCUAUUGCCCCCGAUUGAAACG